UCAGGAGAGAACUGGGCAAUGAAAGCGCUCUCUGCGAAGGACAGGUUCCAGGACAGGCUCUCAUGCCGCCCCUCGCCUCUUCCAGAUGGCAGCCGCUUGGAGCACUGUCUCGCCUUCCAAAAAUGAAUAUCUACUUCCAUUUUCCUGGCCCACCCGUGUCCUAUUGUGGAGAAAAGUGCUUCUCUCUGCUCUCAGAAGGGCCGUCAGCUGCCUGAGAUUCAGAUUACAGAUGCCACAUCACCAGCCCCCAAAGCACCAGCCUGGGACCUUUGUCCAUCAUCCAUGUCACCCAGUCAUCGGGUAGAAGGAAAAAGACAAGCAUAUUUGCCAAUUUAUCCAAGUCUUCU
rnacentral:lncRNA from 1 species